UCCCUGGUUGUCCAGCGGUUAGGACUCUGCUCUCCCAACGCAGGGAGCCCAGGUUCAAUCCCUGGUCAGGGAA